CCUACGGGCGGCUGCAGGGGGGAAUAUUGGACAAUGGGGGGAACCCUGAUCCAGCCAUGCCGCGUGUGUGAAGAAGGCCCUCGGGUUGUAAAGCACUUUCAGUGAGGAAGAACGCCUGGUGGUUAAUACCCAUCAGGAAAGACAUCACUCACAGAAGAAGCACCGGCUAACUCCGUGCCAGCAGCCGCGGUAAUACGGAGGGUGCGAGCGUUAAUCGGAAUUACUGGGCGUAAAGCGCGCGUAGGUGGCUUGAUAAGCCGGUUGUGAAAGCCCCGGGCUCAACCUGGGAACGGCAUCCGGAACUGUCAAGCUAGAGUGCAGGAGAGGAAGGUAGAAUUCCCGGUGUAGCGGUGAAAUGCGUAGAGAUCGGGAGGAAUACCAGUGGCGAAGGCGGCCUUCUGGACUGACACUGACACUGAGGUGCGAAAGCGUGGGUAGCAAACAGGAUUAGAUACCCUAGUAGUC
rnacentral:rRNA from 1 species